GGUCUCUGAGGUAACUUACACCCCUUCAUAGCCAUAAAGUCCUCUUCUUUCUCUUUACUUGAUAAACUUAUGUAUAAUUUAGGCCAAACAGCCCCCUUACUUUUACUCUCCUCUCCGCCAUUUUCUCCUGCAACAAUCUUCCCAUUCUCUCCCUUUUCAUCCAAUCCCAACCCAGACCCUCUUGUCGAAUAAUGCUUAUCAUCCUUCUCUGGCGACAACUUCCUCUUCUCCGAUCGAUGCGUAGCCGCCUCAGAGUUCCUGCACAUCAAACAAUUAUCUUUCGAGAUUCUUGAGAAAAAAUAAAAAUUGAAACUUUAUGAAUAAAAAUUGAAUCUUUAUGAUCGAAUUAGUACCUGGUGAGACGGGUGGAUUGUUGAGUGAAGGUGUGUUUGGUGUCGGGGAAGGUGAGGAAGCGUGACGUGAUUCUCCGGCGAAGUCUGCCGUCGGGGAAAGAGGAAGGGAGAUGAGAUGGUCUGUCUCUGACUCUUACACAUCUUAGUCUUUUUCUGUUUCCCCACUUCAAGAAUAAAUCCGCUUCUGCUAAUUUACAAGCUGUUCUUUCAUUCUUUUCUCCUUUCUCCAUGUCUCUCUCUCUGUUUCAAAAAAUAAAAGAGAGUUACAAGUUAUAUAUGUAUUGACGUAGUUAAGAUCUGUGGAUAUUGUACAAGAGGGAGGGAGAGAGAGAUGAGGAAAUCUUACAAUGAAUGAGCUUCAUCAAGAUCCAAAGACUUUCUGUUAUGUUAUUAGCUAAACACAAAACGUCAAAUUUUGCAUAUGCAGGUUUUGUGUGUUUAUCUAGGGAAUUUGUGUGUGUUUUUGUAGAUGAGAUGAGGAAACAACUCUCUCUCUUCCUCUCUCUCUCUCUCUCUGGUCUUGAAGGGUUUGUAAUUGUAACAGUUUGGAUAUUAUGAAAAAUAAUGGAGAGGGGGAGUUAUCUUCUUCUUUCUUCUGUGUAAUCCUUUUUCUUCUCAUCCCCUGUUUAUAUAUCUCUCACUCUCUGUAUUCACGAAGAGGGAUGAUAUCAGCCGUUGGAUCAAACAAUCAAUCAACGGUGAAUAUUUUGUUUCGUUGAACCUGUUAUUUUGGGUCUCACUUCUGGCCCAAUUGGCUGUAUCUCUUUUUUGAAUGGGCCCAAACUUCAUUCAUUUUAUCCGAGUUUUGGGUCACUUUACAAAUUUGCGUUUUUUAGUCCUGCGUGCUGAUAUCAGCUCUGGAUUCCCCCAGUUAAGUGAUUAACCCAUUUUGCUAAUUAGAAAGAAGCAUUUUUUGUUAUAUCAUCUGAAUUUGGGCUUGCCGAUCUUCACUAGUCCACAACUCCACACAAACACACACAUGUUCGAUAUUGUUUUUUUGUUUUGGUCACAACACAUGUUUGAAAGUUAAGUACAACUACUAAUGCCUAAAUUUUGUGUGUGAUUUAAAGAAUCGAACAACACCCACGUUUUUUAUUUUAUUAGGAAACAAACCUAACAGGAAAUCAAUGUAUGCAAAUUUUCCGAAAAUGACCAAAUCGAAAUUAUCCAAGUUUUGUUUUGUUUUGAAAUGAUCCAAGUUGAUACAGGGGUUAUAUCCUUUUUUAUAAACCAAAGGGUGUCAUUUGUAUUUACUUACCGUAUUAAACUUGUAGAAAAUGAUUCCACCUAUGAGUCCAUGAAAGAACCUCCUAAGGAGCAGGAGCCCUCAACUUCUAAAAAAUGAAAAAAAUAAUUGUUUACAUACAAAAUAUUAUAAACAUUAAUUUAACAAUAUAUCAUUUAAUAAAAAUAUUAAAUGCUCCAAGUUAGAAAUACUACCUCCAUCCCAAAUUAGAUGCUCCCGUUGACUUUGGGCACGUAACUUUAGGUGCAUUGACCGUCUACUUCCAAAAUUUAUUUUUUUAUUUUUUCUUUUAUAAAUGAAAAUUUCAUAUUUUAAUUUUUAUUUACAAAAAUAAAAUUUUAAAAAUAAGUCACGUAUCUAUGCGGUCAAUGAAUCUUAAAUUGUGUGCCCAAAGUCAACGGGGUCAUCUAAUUUGAGAUGGAGGGAGUACACAGUAAAAGUUUUAUAUAGCGAUAUAUUUUAUGAGACAAUUUUAUAGGUUAUCAUGUAACAUAGAUUCCUAAUAUUCAUAAAUUAAAAUACGCAUGAUAAGAACAAUUAUAUAAAUGGACUUGAACCCAAAACUAAAGGUUGAAAAUAUAAAGAACAAGCAUGAAAAGCUUGGGUUUAACUGAGGCAACACAACAGCUCACACAGCAUCAUUACAUUUUUUUAUUAUUUAUGUGAAAACAAAUUUGCAUGUAUCAUGCUAUCUUAGAAAACAAGAAAACAUGAGAAUAAGUUGAAAGAAUAGAAAGAAGAGGCCAGUAAAAUCAUACUAGAAACUUCACCUACUAAAAUAUCAAAACCACAGUGAAAGACUUUUCUAUCCUCUGGAACACACAAUAUAACCUCAGAACAUGCUUCCAACUAAGGACAUAACCGUCAGGGCCCACUUUGAAAACACAAAGUGUGGUGUUUGUUCAAGACUUAAGAAAGAUCACCAGAGUGGAGGGCCCACACUGUACCAUUGGCGACAGCUGUUUGGCACCUCAUUAUAGGCUGUCCAAAAGAAGGGCAGUCCGGGCAAUGAUGAAAUUGCAAAAGCCAAAGUAGACAGCUAGACAAAAGGCUCGUGUGGUCCAUUACGGGCAGCACGGGCAGCCCCCCUCUUGGCUCUCGCAUCUGCUUAUAAAAUAACCGACUUUCUGUUUAUUUGUUGUAGACUUGUAGUAUUGCUUUUAUUCUCUAGCUUAAAUAUUUCCUCUGCUUCCUUUUUGUUUCACUUGAAAUAGCAAUGGAGGCAACGAAGAUGAUUUUUAUCGCCGUCGUGAUGAUGAUGGCUGCUGUGCAGCUGGUGGCGGCGGCGGAUGCGCCGGCGCCGAGCCCUGCUUCAGAUGCUUCCGUUGUUGCUGUGCCAGCUGCUUUGGCCUCCGUACUUGCAGUUGUUUACGCUUUCGUCCUCUGAUCACACUCCUUUGUAUUCGGUUGGAUAUCUGUAGCUGUGACGAUUUUUUGUUUUUUGUUUUUUUAUAGUUUAAAGUUUUUUUUUUUUUUUUUUUUUNNN
rnacentral:lncRNA from 1 species